rnacentral:rRNA from 1 species
CCUACGGGAGGCUGCAGUGAGGAAUAUUGGUCAAUGGACGCAAGUCUGAACCAGCCAUGCCGCGUGCAGGAAGACGGCUCUAUGAGUUGUAAACUGCUUUUGUACGAGGGUAAAUCCCGAUACGUGUAUCGGGUUGCAAGUAUCGUACGAAUAAGGAUCGGCUAACUCCGUGCCAGCAGCCGCGGUAAUACGGAGGAUUCAAGCGUUAUCCGGAUUUAUUGGGUUUAAAGGGUGCGUAGGCGGUUCGAUAAGUUAGAGGUGAAAGCCCGGGGCUCAACUCCGUCACUGCCUCUGAUACUGUCGGGCUAGAGUUUAGUUGCGGUAGGCGGAAUGUAUGGUGUAGCGGUGAAAUGCAUAGAGAUCAUACAGAACACCGAUUGCGAAGGCAGCUUACCAAACUACGACUGACGUUGAGGCACGAAAGCGUGGGGAGCAAACAGGAUUAGAUACCCCAGUAGUC